rnacentral:rRNA from 1 species
GAUGAACGCUGGCGGCGUGCCUAAUACAUGCCAGUCGAGCGAACAGACGAGGAGCUUGCUCCUCUGACGUUAGCGGCGGACGGGUGAGUAACACGUGGAUAACCUACCUAUAAGACUGGGAUAACUUCGGGAAACCGGAGCUAAUACCGGAUAAUAUAUUGAACCGCAUGGUUCAAUAGUGAAAGACGGUUUUGCUGUCACUUAUAGAUGGAUCCGCGCCGCAUUAGCUAGUUGGUAAGGUAACGGCUUACCAAGGCAACGAUGCGUAGCCGACCUGAGAGGGUGAUCGGCCACACUGGAACUGAGACACGGUCCAGACUCCUACGGGAGGCAGCAGUAGGGAAUCUUCCGCAAUGGGCGAAAGCCUGACGGAGCAACGCCGCGUGAGUGAUGAAGGUCUUCGGAUCGUAAAACUCUGUUAUUAGGGAAGAACAAAUGUGUAAGUAACUAUGCACGUCUUGGCGGUACCUAAUCAGAAAGCCACGGCUAACUACGUG